GUGGGGGAUAACCAUUGGAAACGAUGGCUAAUACCGCAUAAUGCCUACGGGCCAAAGAGGGGGACCUUCGGGCCUCUCGCGUCAGGAUAUGCCUAGGUGGGAUUAGCUAGUUGGUGAGGUAAUGGCUCACCAAGGCGACGAUCCCUAGCUGGUCUGAGAGGAUGAUCAGCCACACUGGAACUGAGACACGGUCCAGACUCCUACGGGAGGCAGCAGUGGGGAAUAUUGCACAAUGGGCGCAAGCCUGAUGCAGCCAUGCCGCGUGUGUGAAGAAGGCCUUCGGGUUGUAAAGCACUUUCAGUCGGGAGGAAGGUAGUGUAGUUAAUAGCUGAAUUAUUUGACGUUACCGACAGAAGAAGCACCGGCUAACUCCGUGCCAGCAGCCGCGGUAAUACGGAGGGUGCGAGCGUUAAUCGGAAUUACUGGGCGUAAAGCGCAUGCAGGUGGUUUGUUAAGUCAGAUGUGAAAGCCCGGGGCUCAACCUCGGAAUUGCAUUUGAAACUGGCAGACUAGAGUACUGUAGAGGGGGGUAGAAUUUCAGGUGUAGCGGUGAAA
rnacentral:rRNA from 1 species